GGCUGCUGUCGGAUUCCUGGGCGUAAGGGUGCGUAGGUGGUGAGGUAAGUCGGAUGUGAAAUCUCGGAGCUCAACUCCGAAAUGGCAUUGGAAACUACCUUGCUCGAGGAUUGGAGGGGGGACUGGAAUUCUCGGUGUAGCAGUGAAAUGCGUAGAUAUCGAGAGGAACACCAGUGGCGAAGGCGAGUCCCUGGACAACUCCUGACACUGAGGCACGAAAGCUAGGGGAGCAAACAGGAUUAGAUACCCUGGUAGUCCUAGCCGUAAACGGUGCACGUUUGCUGUAAAAGGAAUCGACCCCUUUUGUGGCGGAGCCAACGCGUUAAACGUGCCGCCUGGGAAGUACGGUCGCAAGAUUAAAACUCAAAGAAAUUGACGGGGGCCUGCACAAGCGGUGGAGUAUGUGGCUCAAUUCGAUGCAACGCGAAGAACCUUACCUGGCCUUGACAUGCAAGUAGUAGAAGGGUGAAAGCCCGACGAGGUAGCAAUACCAGCUUGCACAGGUGCUGCAUGGCUGUCGUCAGCUCGUGUCGUGAGAUGUUGGGUUAAGUCCCACAACGAGCGCAACCCCUGUGCCCUGUUGCCACCCGGCCGCGAGGUCGGAGCACUCUGGACAGACUGCCUCGCUUAAACGAGGAGGAAGGUGGGGAUGACGUCAAGUCAGUAUGGCCCUUACGGCCAGGGCUGCACACGUACUACAAUGCCCGGCACAAAGGGAAGCGAGACCGUCAGGUGGAGCAAAUCCCCAAAAACCGGGCCCAGUUCAGAUUGUCGUCUGCAACUCGACGGCAUGAAGCUGGAAUCGCUAGUAAUGGCGCAUCAGCUACGGCGCCGUGAAUACGUUCCCAGGCCUUGUACACACCGCCCGUCACAUCAUGAAAGCCGUUUGUACCCGAAGUCACUGUAUCAACCGCAAGGAGAGAAGUGCCGAAGUAUGGAUGGUGAUUGGGAUGAAGUCGUAACAAGGUAACC
rnacentral:rRNA from 1 species